UGAAGAUGCAAAGACCCCGGUCUUUGUGACCCCGGGUCACAGAUCCCGGUGAAAUUGUUCAUCUCACAUCUCAAAAGAGACCCUGGCUUCAGCAUCAGCAAAGGGAUUGCUGGGGGGAGGACGAUUCCCUAUCACAUUUUGCUGACUGAUGCUCCAGCUCUCUCUUUCUCUGCUGACGGUCCAGAUAAAUAAACCUGAGCUGGGCACUUUCCGGCUGCCAUGCCAAGCAGAGCCCAGGUGAAGAGCCAAUUGAAACCCAAGCUGUUUCAGGGCAUGAAGUUAAGUAAGAAGUGCUAUACUGGUUCAAGACUGCUCUCCACAGAGCUAAGAAGGGCAUUGCUGCCUCCCUAAUUGUGUGGCCAGCCUUUGCACAGCUUCAAGCAUUUUCUGUGACUGGGAGAAAACAGCAUCAGUCUCCAUGGGACCAGCCAGGGAGAGGAAAAAAUAGUAUGCAAUAUUUUUGGUUUUUCCCCAAUGCCACAGCCCAGCCUUGAGAAGAGGAGGAAAGGGCAAGGAAAGGCAUCCAAGGCUGGGAAAGGACUAGACGUGGGGCAGGUGGAGGAGCUGUGCCACCGGGCUUGCUUGUGCUGUGCCAGCCUGCAGCAAGGCACCAUGGUGGACAUGGGUUGGGGACAACACACUGCGGACUUCAGAGUAACACAAAUUCCUCGACUUCAGCAAUAAAAGAAACAAGUGUGGCAUGGCGUGUCCCUAGGGAUAGUGCCCAAAGGACAGCACUUGCUGGCUGGGUCAGCAGCGGGAGCUUGCCUGUGUCAAGGGUGAUGCAAAGAGGAGACAGCAGCCCUGGGGGACUGGACACGCUGCUUCUCCCUGUGUGGCUGCAAAGGAGAGCUUGACAUGUAUUGUUUCUGGAAGGGAACAACCUCAAUUCCCACAGGUGCUGUGGCACACUUUGCAACCUACUGCGGACCUGCAGACCUCCAUCUUCUGCUACCCCAGCCCCUCUUGGGGCACUGGGAUCUCCUUCUGCUGAUGCUGUGCCACUGGGUAGUGACAAAUGCGAGGGACACCCUGCAAGCGAGAAGGCUUCCAGCUCAGGCAAGCAAGAGCCUGAUGUGCAGCCACAUCUUUUGGGGAGCUUCUGAGGGCUACCUAUUUGUCACUGAGCUCCAAAACUCUGAGGGUUCAGUGCCUGAUGACUGCUUUCACACAAGGUAUGAGCUGGGUUUUUUUAGCCUUCUGGUACCUGUGUAACCUUCAGGUUUAAACUCAAGCUCAUCUUCUGCAGGAGGAUGUUGGAUGUGGAUGGGGACAAGGAUGUGGAUGUCUCUGGCUGCCUUUUUUUUUUUUUUUUUUAACUUUUCCAAAAAAGCCAUAUUCUGGCAAUGCCACAAUGUGGGGUCCCACAGCCACAGUUGAAGGAGUUUACUGAAAGCAACGGACUGGGGCUGAAGUGGUCAGCAAUGCCAGGAAUGAGACAUAUCUGCCUUUUCCCAGCAAAAGCCUUCUAGGCAGAUAAAGAAUUUGGCCAGUGAAAACAUUGCCAUGACCCUUUGGCACUGCGGAUUGUGCUGUAGGUCUUCAAAGCAAAACUGUCUCAAGGCAAGAUAGGCUAAUUGAAUUUUUCCUAUGGCUGGCUGGCUGGAGGGCUGGUUGCUCAUGUCAUGGAAAUGGGAAGUCUUCUAGCAGCAAAGGUGCAAAGGGAAUGAUACUAAGGAGAGGGAAGCCACAUUUUCCACGAUCCUCCCCCAGGAGAUGCUGCCUGGAGCCACAACCCUUUCUCUGCCCAGCCCUAUAGGUGCCUCUGCUUUGAGGUUUUUCACUAAGGGUUGCUAUAGGAACGUAAAUACUUCUGUGCAUCCAAGCCUGAGCAGCUCUCUGCUCCCACUCCCCGUUGCUAGCAUGGGGCUGGCAGUGCCGGCGCUCUGAGGACAGUGGAGGAUGCUCAGAGCAGGGUGGCUUAGACACUGCCUCGCAGACCUGACAGCCAUCCUAGCGCUGUUGGCAAAGAAGGGCUGAGGCAGCUCAGCCAGCCCCUGGGAAACGAUCCUGUUUACGGUUCAUCACCAUCUGAUCUCCCCACUGCUUCUUGCUCCUGCCUGGGCCCAAAUGAGCUGCCACGGUGCCGGGCCGGGCAGGGAGAUGCCGUCCAGCCCGCUCGCUCCCGCUCUCCCGCCACCGCCACCCCGCCCGCGGCUGCUGAGGGAAGCGUGACUCACAUGUGCCUCCCACCCAUGAGUAAGUGUUGGUCUAUCACGUCUCAGCCAGCUGGGGCAGCUCGGAGGGAGGGCGGCUGCUUCCCUGGCGAGGCAUGAAAUCGGUCACUCCAUCCCCAGGACACGGGUGAAACAGGGGCACAAGGCUGCAAGACAUGGCAGCUUUGAGCAGCCUCACAUGACGUGCUGGGCUGUGCCCCGCGAGUGGGGCAGGGGAGGAGGUACGUGUGGCAGCAGACAUGGGGUGCAGCCGUUCCUACUAAACACCGAUGUGAGUUCUUCCUUCUUCCUUAACCAAACCCACUCUUUUACCUGGGAAAUGCACGGGGCCAGUCUGAAGUCGGUGAUGGAAAAUGGGAGAGUGGGAACAUGAGGGGUGGAAACACCGAGUAGUUAAGUGCUUCUCGGGGUGGAAAGAGGUUAUUAAAUAGCAAGUAAUUUUAGCAUGAGUUAUAAUAUUAGUUGUUUUUACUGGGAAGUGGUGCCUAGGGGCUCCCAUUGCACUAAUCAUGUAACAAAGCCAUGUUCCUAACACAAAUAGCUUGUGUUUCAGCCUGGAGAGAACAAGUCGUCUCCUUCCCAUUACCCCUCCUUUGAAAAAACACUAUGAAGAUUGCACAGUCGAGCCCACAAAAACUGGGAAAGGAAAAAAAUGACAUUGGGCUGUCACCCAGCCAGCCCAGUAACUCCCUCAGCACCUUGGGUCCCCACUGCCUGCUCUUCCCCUCAGCAGGCCUGGCCUCAGCAUUAUUGGUGAUUUUUGUGUUGCCCUUGUAUUUGUUGUUUGGGUGUAUUAGCAUCACAUCACCUAUUUAGGACAGGGGGGGACUGUGGGUUGGGUUGUUUCCUGCCUCACUGACUGGUUUUGUGUAUGGUGCCAUGUAUUUCUGUUGUAUUUUUCAGGCUUUAAACUGCAGUCCGCUUGGGUACAUGCCCCUCUGAAGUCAGAAACCAAUUUAAUGAAUUCAAUUAAUUAAUUUACAGCCUUGGCACUAAAGCAUAGACUAAAGGUCAACAGCAUCCGCUAAUUUUGGAUGAUAAAAACCAUGACUGCCCUGCUAUUUCUUGUUUUCCCGAGGACUUGGCGUUAUUUUAUCGCAUGGAAACAUGUGUCCUCCUGCCCCCAGCUGCAGCUUUGCACUCGCGGCAAUUAAUUGGCCUCACCCCGAGUCAGGCUGGAGGCCAGAAAAAAUGCCCUGCAGCCCCAGCCCUUCCUUUUGCACAGGUGCUUUUGCAAGGUGAGCACUGCCUGGCCUUGCACCGCCUGGCAGCAGCUUCAUCUGUGCCCUCAACACAGCAAACAACUGUGGUGGCAAAUGGGCCAGGGUCCCUGUGGUGUCUCCUGCCCUCUCGACAAUCAUCCAGCUGGAUGUAGAACGAGCUGGUGGAGGGGACACAACCAAAUAACGAACAUGCGAGGAUGGUCCAAGGCGGUAAUGUGAUGCCACGGUGCAAGGAGCUGGCACUCCAGAUGCGUGGGCUCCCUUUUUGGACCAGGUGUGCGACACUACUGAUGCUUGUUUAGCAUGAUGCUCUGCACCCAUGCACGCAUGUGCGCAUGUCUGUACUAUGUUCGUGUUUUAGAAGUGCAAGUCCUGCAUCAGCCACUAGCAGCAAGGGGCUGCUGGUGGGGCUUGGAAAUGCUGUGUUAACCUCUGAGCACAUACGUGCUCUCUGGUCGGCAUGGAUCCUGCUGCUUAUGCCCCACCCCAAAUCCCAUAGGUCUGCUCAUUUCCCCACUGCUGUGUUGUGUCCUUGUCUGAGGUUCGUCUCAUCGGUGCCUCUGACCUCCUGUUGGUGGAGGAAGCCAGGCAGAAGCCACUGUCACCCCGCCGCAGUCAGCUGCUGCUGGAGCACUACCAGGCUCUGGGAAGAUUUUGGGAUUGCAGCACAUGAGAUAAGGCAUCAUGGACACCAUCAAGCACCCUGUCCUGCUGCAGGGUCUCCUACACCCCUACCAGACCCCUCUCAGGCCUCUCCUCCUGCCUCACAGCCUUCUCAGCUGGGCAAGUUACAACUCUCCCUUCCACCCUUUGUCCCUCACAAAUCUUAAGCUCUGUGCUAAAUGACAAAAGUUUAAUAAGGGCUGAAGGGUGAGCCCCUCUCCUUCUCCCCACCGCCCCCCAAAAAAGGUAAGUUAACAUAUGCAAAAACCAAUGUGAAUUUACUUGCCUUGGCCUCAGAACUGGCUCAACAAUUUUGACUGAGGAGGGAUUAAGACAGAUGCUGGGCACUGACAGCUCCAACAGGCAGUCUGGGUGCUGCUGAGAUACAAGCAAUUGAAACAAAGGCUCUUGAAGUGAGAACAGCUCAGUCACCUUAAAACUAAGUGGCGCUACAACUUCUACACUGUUUGCUCCAACUAACUUGCUGUCAUCCACAUGACCAUUACACUCAACAGCAACAUUCACUACGUCCAAACUCCCAGCUUGAAGAACACUGCAUCUAGUUCUUCUGCAGACCAUGCAGUAAUGUCUAGUGGACACCUACAGACUAACCCAGCCAGAGGAGCUUCUAUCCCCCUUUCCUGAGCUUCUUUGUGGCUGGCUGAGCCUUUGCAAGAGCCGCUCACUCAGGCAGGUAUGAAAACACAGCCCCCAUGUACCAGCCCAGAGUUUUGGGCAGCUUGGCUUUGACCUCUGAAAACACUGCACUUGCGGCAGGGGUGACCAGGUCAGUCUUGCCCCCUUUCAAUCAUUUCUAUCUGUGUGACACUGCAGUUUCACGUAUUUCUCCACCCGGCACCCCUCAGACAUUUUUCUUUAGAGAGAAGGUAAAAUGCUUUCCCAUCGGUUUUCAAAAUGUGAAUGAAGUGAAGCAACAGGCAGAAAGAGAAAAGUGAGUGACCAUGAGUGGAAGCAAUACAGGCGUUGAUUGCAACCAGGCUCUCCAGCCGAAUGAGAAAAUAGCCCCCUCCCCCAUGGAGAUGUUUUCCAAGCUGGAAACUAAGAACUUAAGUACAAAGGCUUUUGUGUUUUUAUUGACAUUGUAAGAAACAUUUUUUUUUCUUUGUUACAAAAGAGCUAAGUGGUCCUGUAAGCAGAAGUACAGUUUAUAUGUACACAAUGCUACAGACCCUUCAGAUCAACCUAAGGCUCGAGAAACAUCAGAUCAUAACUGCAGGUUUAUCAAAUGAAGACCAAUAAGGCCCAUUAUAGCCAAACACUAUUCCUACCAUACGUAAAUGUAUUUACACAUUUUCUUUUUUUUUUUUUUUAAAAAAAGGAUUACAAGCUUUAUAAAAAACUAAAAAAAAACCUAAAAAAAAAAAAAAGGAACACAUAUUUAUCUUACACAUCUGCAGGACUGACAACAGUAACUGUUCCAUAGGAGACAUUCCACCAAUCCAAGGACAAUAACACGUGAAUAUCAGAGGUUUACAAGACAUUUUGGACACUAUUAACAGUGAUAUGUGCUAUUAGCUGAAUGGCGAGUACAGCCUCAUCGGGAAAAUUUGGCAACACAUCUUGGUCCCUCUCUUUUACAGGAUCAACAGAAAAUAAGGCACAUACAUCGUGAGAAUAUACACACUGCUGUGCAGAAGGACGAGCCGUUGCGCAACAGACAUGGGCCAUUUCAUCAAGGGCUUGGGGUGGGAAGCAAUGACUGGGAGCCAGCGAGCCAGCCAGCAUCUUAAUGCAUGUGGCAUUUGGGACCAUUCUCCAAGGAGAGAGUAACAGCCUCUGCCCCAUGAAUGCCGGGGGCCAUCAUACUCACCAGCAGAGCCCCUUUGGAAGCCCACUGACUUCUCUGCAAAUACACCUUUCCUCGGCCAUGGAUGGACUCUCACUGGCAGCUCCCACCUUGUGGAAAGUAAAACUGCCUGGAGAAAUGCGCACCCUUCACGUAGGCUGAGCGAAGCAGACGCGCCCAAGGCCAACAGUAACAAAGCUGGAAGACCCACCCCCGCGUCAUUAGAAGAAAAGGUGAUUUAGACUCAGUCUGUGAUUCUUUUAAAAUAGGGAAUUCACUAUAUUUUCUGCAUUUUUUAAUACUCUAGGGUGUGUGGUGGGUUUCCAACUGCUAUGGCAAUGCCGACUGAUGCACCAGAUAUACAAUAGCAAGUUUGGGCUCUGUAACUGGAAGAGCAGGAGUAGAGAGGUCCCAGGAAACAGGUGGACAACGUUGGUGGGACUUUCCCCAGACUGCCACACAUUGAGAAGGAGAUGGACAAGUGAAGGCUGGUGUCCAGCCUAACAGUGCAUUACUCAGAGAGCCAAGAUAGCUUGGCUACGAUGUAUUGCUACCCUCACAGGUAGCAAAACAGGCUCUUUAGCACUAACCAGAAAAGCACGAGAAUAUACUGAAAGCUGAAAACUGACACAUGAACAAAAAUGGCCCAUACCUUUAAUGGUGAAAAUUAUAAACUAUUUAUGCAUACUCCCCAGCAACAUGGUGGAGUCUCUGGUUCUUCAACAUUGCCAAAUCAAAAUGGGACGCCUUUCUGGAGUAUGUGGUUUGGGCCAAGAUGUUGUUGGCCCAAGACAGGGGUAAAUGAGUGACAAAGGUUUGUCAAAUUCAGGAAGGCAAAUUAGCUACUCAAACAGUCCCUUUUAGCCUUGAGCAAUAUGAAUGGCUCUUUCCAAGUGCUGAUGGAUCACAUCUGUUAAUAGCUUCCCAGCUUCAGUUGGACCAGCAAAUACAAUUAUGAACUGGAAAAUUGAG